rnacentral:rRNA from 1 species
CAGUCGCCGCGGUAAUACGAGGGGGGCAAGCGUUGUUCGGAAUUAUUGGGCGUAAAGGGUGCGUAGGCGGUUCAGCAAGUCUCGUGUGAAAUCUUCGGGCUCAACCCGAAGUCUGCACGGGAAACUACUGGGCUUGAGUAAUGGAGAGGUGAGUGGAAUUUCCGGUGUAGCGGUGAAAUGCGUAGAUAUCGGAAGGAACACCUGUGGCGAAAGCGGCUCACUGGACAUUUACUGACGCUGAUGCACGAAAGCUAGGGGAGCAAACAGGAUUAGAUACCCCAGUAGUCCCUGUCUCUUAUAC